rnacentral:lncRNA from 1 species
CGGUGAGAAGUGAUUUGUAUUUGAAUAAUUAAUUUAAUAUUAUUUUUGAACAAUAAUUAAUAUUUGGCAAAAUUUUUAAAAAGUACUUCUAAAUAUUUUUUUCUUAAAAGUGUUUUUGAACAACUGCUACUAAUUGCUUCUACUUCUACUACUUUUGUCCUUCUAAAAACUUAGUCAAAUACUCUAAUUUUGAAAUAUAUGCAAUUUUGCCUCCCCCUCCAAAAAAAAAACUUGACCAAACAGAUUAUAAAGCUAAGUAGAAUUUAAGUUAUAUAUGUUGAUACUGUAAAAAUUUAAUAUAUUUGAUUAAUGAAACUUUAAUCUAUAACAAUAGAUUAUUUUAUUUUUAUUAAAUAUUUAUUAAAAUUUAUCAUAAGAUUCACAUAUACAGUCAGACCUCUCUAUCAAUGACGAAGCCAGAAAUUUUCUCAAGGGUGUUCAAAUUUGAAAUAAGUAAAAAAAAUUCCGCAAAGGGUGUUCAAUAUAUAUUAUGUAUCUCUAAAACCUAAUAUUUUACCUAUAUACGCAAUGUAAUUUUCCGACAAAUACCACCCUAAGCAAAGUGUAGCUUCGCCCAUACUCUCUAUAACAACAUCCUAACACUACAUUAUAAAAGUCAAGUUUUUUUUAGAACCAAAUUUCAUGUUCUAUUAUAAUAUAUAUUGCAUCCUAACACUACAUUAUAAAAGUCAAAUUUUUCUAGAACCAAAUUUCAUGUUCUAUUAUAAUAUAUAUUUUCUAUAAUAACAAUUCGCUACAACAUUCAAAAAUAUCUAGAACAAACUAGAGAAGUUUGAUUGAUAAUCACUUCAUAAGUAAUCUAAAUUCUGAUUGAGUAAAUACUUUUAUAUUGACUGCCUGAAACUUAAACUUAUACUAUUAGGUGUCUACAGGGGCGGACAGUGGCGUACGCAUGAUUUUUCAUAACCGGUGUCACUAUUUCUAGUAAGAGGCCGGUAAUAAUCAAAAAAAAUUUAUGGAGCCAAGGGAGUUUGAACCCAAGACCUCUCUCUCACAAACAAGCUUAAAUUUAUCAACCACUAGAUUACUGACUUGUUUUGUUGCAAGUAGUUUCACUUUUAAUAUUUUUAUCUUGUAUUUCUAUUUUACUUAUUAUUAUUAUAUAUAUAAAUAGUAAAAAUUUUAACGAAGCGGUGUCCCGUGAUACCGCUUGGGUCUAUGUAAAUCCGCCCCUGGGGCGGAGGCAGGGGGCGCAAGGGUGUUCACCCGAACACCCUUCGCCGAAAAAUACACUGUAUAUAUAAGGCAAAAUCUAUUUUUUAUCUCUAUAUAUUAAGUUAUGAACACCCUUAAUAUAAUCCAAAAGUGUAAAAAAAAAAUUUGAACACCCUUCGUAGGGAUUCUGCCUCAGUGACUGAUUGUCUACCAUAUCUGCUUCUUUUUCAUGCAUAUAACCAUUGCUAGAGAAGACUGAUAAAUCAACAGUGAAUUAAUACUUAAGAAAAUCAUAAACAUGAAAUCAUAAAUAAAUGAGUAAGAUAAUGAAAUCCUUUUUUUAUAAUACAGAAAUAAGUCAGCACUGCAAUCUCAUCCAUAAAAACUUCUUAAUUACAGCAAAAAGAUAAGUGUAAUGCAUCAGAAUUCAUCGUAAUAUCACACACUUCACACAAUCAACCAACACAAAAAAAA